UCCUAAACAAACCGAUCUAUAAGGUCGCACCAGUCGCACAGAAACUAAUAAGUUGAGUUGGAUAAGCCUAGUAAAUUCUGUGCGGCUACGCUCCAUAAUAAAUCUAACGAUAAGAGACUAAAUAGUAGACCUAGUGUAAAGACCCAGCCCACUAACAAUAAUAACUCGUUGGGUCCAAACUAUCGGCCCAAAAUACUUAAGCCGGGUUAUUAUUAUUAGCGCAUAGGUCUCAUAUAAACUGAUCGAAAUCAGUAUACCCUGACGUCGACAGACAAAUCAGGACCAGAUUACCAGGCGAUGUGAGAUUCUAGAGGUGGCUCCCACCAAACCCGUUGGUGUAGUACUUUGUCCCGCAUAGCACUUAGCUCUUACACUUCCAGUUGGUAUUCGUCUCUGACACUAAUUGUAAUGACCUGACUCGCUAGCAACAAUAACUCGUUGGGCCCAAACCAUCGGCCCAAAAUGCUUAAGCCGGAUUAUUAUUACUAGCGCGUAUGUCUCAUAUAAAUUGAUCGAAAUCAGUAUCCCAUCCAAUGUGGGACUAAUGGGUGCGUUACACCUAGUAUCUAGAUGGGUUGAGUCAGAUCGAAACUCGUGAGUGCUGUGACUUAAUUCUUUUGUGAGACUGAUAUGUCCUUUCUAUCGGCACAUAUUUUUGAAAUAAUUAAUCAGCGCUUACGAUUAGAACUCUAUCCAACUCAAAUUGCUAUUUCAAGCUCUAAUUAGA
rnacentral:lncRNA from 1 species